rnacentral:rRNA from 1 species
CCUACGGGAGGCUGCAGUGGGGAAUAUUGCGCAAUGGGCGAAAGCCUGACGCAGCGACGCCGCGUGAGGGAUGAAGGUCUUCGGAUCGUACACCUCUGUCAGCAGGGAAGAACGGUCACUGUGCUAAUCAGCAGUGAAUUGACGGUACCUGCAAAGGAAGCACCGGCUAACUCCGUGCCAGCAGCCGCGGUAAUACGGAGGGUGCGAGCGUUACUCGGAAUUACUGGGCGUAAAGCGCUCGUAGGCGGUAUUUCAAGUCAAGGGUGAAAUCCCCGCGCUCAACGUGGGAACUGCCUUUGAAACUGGCAAACUGGAGUGUGUGAGAGGAUAGUGGAAUGCCAGGUGUAGGAGUGAAAUCCGUAGAUAUCUGGAGGAACAUCAGUGGCGAAGGCGACUAUCUGGCACAUAACUGACGCUGAGGAGCGAAAGCGUGGGUAGCAAACAGGAUUAGAUACCCUAGUAGUC